UACCUGCAGCUCAAGUAGUGACCACUAUUAUUGGGCCUAAAACGUUCGUAGCCGGUUUGGUAAAUGCCUGGGUAAAUCGUGUAGCUUAACUAUACGAAUUCCGGGUAGACUGCCAAACUUGAAACCGGGAGAAGCUAGAGGUACUCCUGGGGUAGAGGUGAAAUUCUGUAAUCCUAGGGGGACCACCAGUGGCGAAGGCGUCUAGCUAGAACGGGUUUGACGGUGAGGAACGAAGCCCUGGGGCGCAAACCGGAUUAGAUACCCGGGUAGUCCAGGGUGUAAACGCUGCUUGCUUGAUGUUAGUUGGGCUCCGAGCCCAAUUAGUGUCGGAGAGAAGUUGUUAAGCAAGCUGCCUGGGAAGUACGAUCGCAAGAUUGAAACUUAAAGGAAUUGGCGGGGGAGCACAGCAACGGGUGGAGCGUGCGGUUU
rnacentral:rRNA from 1 species